rnacentral:rRNA from 1 species
UUGGAGGGCAAGUCUGGUGCCAGCAGCCGCGGUAAUUCCAGCUCCAAUAGCGUAUAUUAAAGUUGCUGCAGUUAAAAAGCUCGUAGUUGAAUUUCGGGACCAUCAUGUCGGUCGUGCCUCGGUACGUACUGGUAUUGUUGGUUUCUCCCUUCUGGCGAACCGUGAUGUCAUUUAUUUGGUGUUGUGGGGAAUCAGGACUGUUACUUUGAAAAAAUUAGAGUGUUUAAAGCAGGCUCACGCUUGAAUACAUUAGCAUGGAAUAAUGAAAUAGGACGUUUGAUUCUAUUUUGUUGGUUUCUAGGAUCGACGUAAUGAUUAAUAGGGAUAGUUGGGGGCAUUAGUAUUCAAUUGUCAGAGGUGAAAUUCUUGGAUUUAUUGAAGACUAACUACUGCGAAAGCAUUUGCCAAGGAUGUUUUCAUUAAUCAAGAACGAAAGUUAGGGGAUCGAAGACAAUCAGAUACCGUCGUAGUCUUAACCAUAAACUAUGCCGACUCGGGAUCGGAUAAUGUUAAUUUUUUAAUGACUCAUUCGGCGCCUUACGGGAAAC